ACCCCUGGCAGCCCUUCCUGAUGAUUCUUCUUCCUAAGCCUAUUAUGAUGAGCAAACUGAGCCUCUAAGUUGACUAAAGGGGCUGCUUCCCC
rnacentral:snoRNA from 1 species